UACCAGGUCUUGACAUUGAUGGACGAAACAAGAGAUUGUUUUUCUCCUUCGGGAGCCAGAAAACAGGUGGUGCACGGCUGUCGUCAGCUCGUGUCGUGAGAUGUUGGGUUAAGUCCCGCAACGAGCGCAACCCCUAUCUUAUGUUGCCAGCACUUCGGGUGGGAACUCAUGAGAGACUGCCGCAGACAAUGCGGAGGAAGGCGGGGAUGACGUCAAGUCAUCAUGCCCCUUAUGACCUGGGCUACACACGUACUACAAUGGGCUUUAAUAGAGGGAAGCGAAACCGCGAGGUGGAGCAAACCCCAGAAACAAGCUCUCAGUUCGGAUCGUAGGCUGCAACUCGCCUACGUGAAGUCGGAAUCGCUAGUAAUCGCAGGUCAGCAUACUGCGGUGAAUACGUUCCCGGGCCUUGUACACACCGCCCGUCACACCACGAAAGUCGGAAGUACCCAAAGCCGGUGGGGUAACCUUCGGGAGCCAGCCGUCUAAGGUAAAGUCGAUGAUUGGGGUGAAGUCGUAACAAGGUAGCCGUAUCGGAAGGUGCGGCUGGAUCACCUCCUUUCUAGGGAGA
rnacentral:rRNA from 1 species